GCGGUAAUACGUAGGGUGCGAGCGUUGUCCGGAAUUACUGGGCGUAAAGAGCUUGUAGGCGGUUUGUCGCGUCUUCUGUGAAAACUUGGGGCUCAACCCCAAGCUUGCAGGCGAUACGGGCAGACUAGAGUACUUCAGGGGAGACUGGAAUUCCUGGUGUAGCGGUGAAAUGCGCAGAUAUCAGGAGGAACACCGGUGGCGAAGGCGGGUCUCUGGGAAGUAACUGACGCUGAGAAGCGAAAGCAUGGGUAGCAAACAGGAUUAGAUACCCUGGUAGUCCAUGCCGUAAACGGUGGGUACUAGGUGUGGGUUUCCUUCCACGGGAUCCGUGCCGUAGCUAACGCAUUAAGUACCCCGCCUGGGGAGUACGGCCGCAAGGCUAAAACUCAAAGGAAUUGACGGGGGCCCGCACAAGCGGCGGAGCAUGUGGAUUAAUUCGAUGCAACGCGAAGAACCUUACCUGGGUUUGACAUACACCGGAAACCUGCAGAGAUGUAGGCCCCCUUGUGGUCGGUGUACAGGUGGUGCAUGGCUGUCGUCAGCUCGUGU
rnacentral:rRNA from 1 species